GUAUAAGCACCACGCCUACACAAUAUCUAUCAUUUACCCAUGGAUCUGAUGGAUAAACGCUAUACGAUCCUAAACAUGUAUAUAAUUCCAAUCUAACUAAGCCAAGUAUAUAACUAUGAUAAACUAAGAACAAUAUAAUUGCGAAUAUAAACAAGUAGAGCAAAGUCAUAAUCAAUAUAUUGAAGUAGAACAAAGUCAUAUUCAUAAUAUCGAAGAACAAAGAUGAACAAUUGAAGAACAAUA
rnacentral:lncRNA from 1 species